ensembl:snRNA U1 U1 spliceosomal RNA
CGACAUACCUGGCAGGGGAGAUACCAUGAUCACGAGGGUGGUUUUCCCAGGGCGAAGCUUGUCCAUUGCACUCCGGAUGUGCUGACCCCUGCGAUUUCCCCAAAUGUGGGAAAUUCGACUGCAUAAUUUGUGGUAGUGGGGGACUGAGUUCGUGCUCUCCCCUG